GACGAACGCUGGCGGCGUGCCUAAUACAUGCAAGUCGAGCGAAGUUUUUCUGGUGCUUGCACUAGAAAAACUUAGCGGCGAACGGGUGAGUAACACGUAAAGAACCUGCCUCAUAGACUGGGACAACUAUUGGAAACGAUAGCUAAUACCGGAUAACAGUAUUUCUCGCAUGAGAGAUAUUUAAAAGUUGGUUAUGCUAACACUAUGAGAUGGCUUUGCGGUGCAUUAGCUAGUUGGUGGGGUAAAGGCCCACCAAGGCGACGAUGCAUAGCCGACCUGAGAGGGUGAUCGGCCACACUGGGACUGAGACCCGGCCCAGACUCCUACGGGAGGCAGCAGUAGGGAAUCUUCCGCAAUGGGCGAAAGCCUGACGGAGCAACGCCGCGUGAGUGAAGAAGGAUUUCGGUUCGUAAAGCUCUGCUGUUAGGGAAGAAUGGAUAUGUAGUAACUAUACAUGUAAGAGACGGUACCUAACCAGAAAGCCACGGCUAACUACGUG
rnacentral:rRNA from 1 species